GCUAUCGUGGUGCCAGCGGGCGCGGUAAGAGGUGGGGGGGAAGGGUUGUCCGGAUUUAGUGGGCGUAGAGCGCGGGUAGGUGGCCAGGUAGGGCUGCUGUGAAAACUCGAGGCGCAACCUCGGGCGGUCGGCGGAAACCCCCUGGCUAGAGUCCGGAAGAGGAGAGUGGAAUUCCCGGUGUAGCGGUGAAAUGCGCAGAUAUCGGGAGGAACACCCGUGGCGAAGGCGGCUCUCUGGGACGGUGCUGACGCUGAGACGCGAAAGCGUGGGGAGCGAACAGGAUUAGAUACCCGAGUAGUC
rnacentral:rRNA from 1 species